GCCCCCUUCGUCUAUCGGCUAGGACAUCGGGUUCUCAUCCCGGAAAGAGGGGUUCGAUUCCCCUAGGGGGUG
rnacentral:tRNA from 1 species